rnacentral:rRNA from 1 species
UUUCGCAAUGCCCGAAAGGGUGACGAAGCGACGCCGCGUGUGGGAAGAAGGCCUUCGGGUUGUAAACCUCUGUCGGGAGUUAGGAAAUGUAAGGGUGCUAAUAGUAUCCUUGCUUGACUAAGGCUCCGGAGGAAGCCACGGCUAACUCUGUGCCAGCAGCCGCGGUAAUACAGAGGCGGCAAGCGUUGUUCGGAAUUAUUGGGCGUAAAGAGCACGUAGGCGGCCUUGUAAGUCAGUUGUGAAAGCCUUCUGCUUAACGGAAGAACAGCAGCUGAUACUGCAAGGCUAGAGUGCGGAAGGGGAGAGUGGAACUUCUGGUGGAGCGGUGAAAUGCGUAGAUAUCAGAAGGAACACCGGCGGCGAAGGCGACUCUCUGGUCCGUAACUGACGCUGAGUGUGCGAAAGCUAGGGGAGCAAACGGGAUUAGAUACCCCGGUAGUCCUAGCCGUAAACGAUGGGCACUAAGUAGAGGGGUUUUA